rnacentral:rRNA from 1 species
AGAGUUUGAUCCUGGCUCAGAUUGAACGCUGGCGGCAGGCCUAACACAUGCAAGUCGAGCGGAAACGACACUAACAAUCCUUCGGGUGCGUUAAUGGGCGUCGAGCGGCGGACGGGUGAGUAAUGCCUAGGAAAUUGCCUUGAUGUGGGGGAUAACCAUUGGAAACGAUGGCUAAUACCGCAUAAUGCCUACGGGCCAAAGAGGGGGACCUUCGGGCCUCUCGCGUCAAGAUAUGCCUAGGUGGGAUUAGCUAGUUGGUGAGGUAAUGGCUCACCAAGGCGACGAUCCCUAGCUGGUCUGAGAGGAUGAUCAGCCACACUGGAACUGAGACACGGUCCAGACUCCUACGGGAGGCAGCAGUGGGGAAUAUUGCACAAUGGGCGAAAGCCUGAUGCAGCCAUGCCGCGUGUAUGAAGAAGGCCUUCGGGUUGUAAAGUACUUUCAGUUGUGAGGAAGGGGGUGUAGUUAAUAGCUGCAUCUCUUGACGUUAGCAACAGAAGAAGCACCGGCUAACUCCGUGCCAGCAGCCGCGGUAAU